rnacentral:rRNA from 1 species
AUUGAACGCUGGCGGCAUGCCUUACACAUGCAAGUCGAACGGUAACGCGGGGCAACCUGGCGACGAGUGGCGAACGGGUGAGUAAUGUAUCGGAACGUGCCCAGUUGUGGGGGAUAACUGCUCGAAAGAGCAGCUAAUACCGCAUACGACCUGAGGGUGAAAGCGGGGGACCGUAAGGCCUCGCGCGAUUGGAGUGGCCGAUGUCAGAUUAGCUAGUUGGUGGGGUAAAGGCCUACCAAGGCAACGAUCUGUAGUUGGUCUGAGAGGACGACCAGCCACACUGGGACUGAGAAACGGCCCAGACUCCUACGGGAGGCAGCAGUGGGGAAUUUUGGACAAUGGGCGCAAGCCUGAUCCAGCCAUUCCGCGUGAGUGAAGAAGGCCUUCGGGUUGUAAAGCUCUUUCGGCAGGAACGAAACGGUGGGCUCUAACAUAGCCUGCUAAUGACGGUACCUGAAGAAGAAGCACCGGCUAACUACGUGCCAGCCGCCGCCGUAAAAC